GAAAUGGCAAUCACUCCCAGUGAUGGCUUCUUAUUCCUGGACACAGACUGGCUGAUUGGAAACCACUCGGAGGAGCUCUUGCCGUGGAUCCCCGUUAUAGCAGCCAGGUCAUCCUUCUCCGGCCGGUACAUUGUUCUGCCGUUUCUUUGACUUCUAUGGGAAGUACCAGCGGAGACAGUUUCAGAAGUCCCAGUAUAAGGAAUACAUUGACUUCAUCUCUGAGAUCAGCACAGCCUGUGGCUUCAACACAGAGGAGGACUGCCUGAGAAUCCCCUCCACAAAGCGGAUAUCCUAAUGGAGCGGCAGGUGUGUCUGGUAGACUUGGUGCUACCAGUCAAGGAGCUACCAGCUGUCAGACGAGUGGAGAGCCAAAUAUACAGGGUCGUCAGACCUGGUCCGGGGUCACAGUACAAGGGUCAAACGUCGAGGGGGAAGCUGAGACUGACAGGUCCCAUGGGAACAACUGGGGAGCUGGGUUCCAGCCCCGAGAGAGGAUUGAGACUGUGGAAUUGCGCCGCCCUCCCCCGGGAUUUUGUAGAUGCCCCAGCCCCAGUAUAGUCUUACGUGUGGCCAACACUCUGCUUGGUCGACUGACAAGGGCGGGGAUGUCCCUGAUGCCUGGAGCACUGGAGGUAAGGGAAUGGGACUUAAUAACUAAACUGUCAAUCAAAUCACAAGGUAAUCUCUCCUUCAAAACAUUGAGCUGUCAUUGAGGUCAUAUUAGGUUUAGGAAUAAAUAACAAAAAGUACAUAUCUG
rnacentral:lncRNA from 13 species